rnacentral:rRNA from 1 species
UCCUACGGGAGGCAGCAGUAGGGAAUCUUCCGCAAUGGACGAAAGUCUGACGGAGCAACGCCGCGUGAGUGAUGAAGGCUUUCGGGUCGUAAAACUCUGUUGUUAGUGAAGAACAAGUGCUAGUUGAAUAAGCUGGCACCUUGACGGUACCUAACCAGAAAGCCACGGCUAACUACGUGCCAGCAGCCGCGGUAAUACGUAGGUGGCAAGCGUUAUCCGGAAUUAUUGGGCGUAAAGCGCGCGCAGGUGGUUUCUUAAGUCUGAUGUGAAAGCCCACGGCUCAACCGUGGAGGGUCAUUGGAAACUGGGAGACUUGAGUGCAGAAGAGGAAAGUGGAAUUCCAUGUGUAGCGGUGAAAUGCGUAGAGAUAUGGAGGAACACCAGUGGCGAAGGCGACUUUCUGGUCUGUAACUGACACUGAGGCGCGAAAGCGUGGGGAGCAAACAGGAUUAGAUACCCUGGUAGUCCACGCCGUAAACGAUGAGUGCUAAGUGUUAGAGGGUUUCCGCCCUUUAGUGCUGAAGUUAACGCAUUAAGCACUCCGCCUGGGGAGUACGGCCGCAAGGCUGAAACUCAAAGGAAUUGACGGA